rnacentral:rRNA from 1 species
UACGUAGGGUGCAAGCGUUAAUCGGAAUUACUGGGCGUAAAGCGUGCGCAGGCGGUGAUGUAAGACAGUUGUGAAAGCCCCGGGCUCAACCUGGGAACUGCGGUUGAAACUGGCGAACUAGAAUCUGGCAGAGGGGGGUGGAAUUCCACGUGUAGCAGUGAAAUGCGUAGAGAUGUGGAGGAACACCGAUGGCGAAGGCAGCCCCCUGGGCUGAGAUUGACGCUGAGACGCGAAAGCGUGGGGAGCAAACAGG